GGGUAACUAGCUCAAAUGGUAGAGCGCCUGAUUUGCAUUCAGGAGGCACGGGGAUCGAUGCCCCGGUUAUCCA
rfam:Tetrahymena thermophila SB210 genomic scaffold scf_8254592, whole genome shotgun sequence.